UUGCAGGGUCUGGUUACAAUGCAUCUGUGAAGUGCUGUGUUGUCUUUUGUCUCCUGCUCAAAAUAAAACUGUUACCUUUCUAGCCCUGUGUGCAAUUGUACUGAGGCAGCCAGGGAUGCAUGGUCUCAUACAU